rnacentral:rRNA from 1 species
GAUGAACGCUGGCGGCGUGCUUAACACAUGCAAGUCGAACGAAGCACUUUUGAUUGAUUUCCUCGGAAAGAUUUCACUUGUGACUGAGUGGCGGACGAGUGAGUAACGCGUGGGUAACCUGCCUCAUACAGGGGGAUAACAGUUAGAAAUGACUGCUAAUACCGCAUAAGCGCACGGUAACGCAUGAUACAGUGUGAAAAACUCUGGUGGUAUGAGAUGGACCCGCGUCUGAUUAGCUAGUUGGUGGGUAACGGCCUACCAAGGCGACGAUCAGUAGCCGACCUGAGAGGGUGACCGGCCACAUUGGGACUGAGACGCGGCCCAAACUCCUACGGGAGGCAGCAGUGGGGAAUAUUGCACAAUGGGCGAAAGCCUGAUGCAGCGACGCCGCGUGAACGAAGAAGUAUUUCGGUAUGUAAAGUUCUAUCAGCAGGGAAGAUAAUGACGGUACCUGACUAAGAAGCACCGGCUAAAUACGUGCCAGCCGCCGCGGUAAGAC